rnacentral:rRNA from 1 species
GACGAACGCUGGCGGCGUGCUUAACACAUGCAAGUCGAACGGAAAGGCCCCUUUGGGGGUACUCGAGUGGCGAACGGGUGCGUAACACGUGAGUAACCUGCCCUUGACUUCGGGAUAACUUCAGGAAACUGGGGCUAAUACCGGAUAGGAAUCCUUGCUGCAUGGUGGGGGUUGGAAAGCUUCGGCGGUUUUGGAUGGACUCGCGGCUUAUCAGCUUGUUGGUGGGGUAGUGGCUUACCAAGGCUUUGACGGGUAGCCGGCCUGAGAGGGCGACCGGCCACAUUGGGACUGAGAGAAGGCACAGACUGCGACGGGAGGCAGCAGUGGGGAAUAUUGCACAAGGGGCGGAAGCCUGAUGCAGAAACGCCGCGGGCGGGAUGACGGUCUUAGGGUUGUAAACCGCUUGCAGCAGGGGCGAAGCUUGUGGUGACGGUACCUGCAGAAGAAGCACCGGCUAACUACGUG